CCUACGGGUGGCAGCAGUGGGGAAUUUUGGACAAUGGGCGCAAGCCUGAUCCAGCAAUGCCGCGUGCAGGAAGAAGGCCUUCGGGUUGUAAACUGCUUUUGUCAGGGAAGAAAUCCCUUGGGUUAAUACCUCGGGGGGAUGACGGUACCUGAAGAAUAAGCACCGGCUAACUACGUGCCAGCAGCCGCGGUAAUACGUAGGGUGCGAGCGUUAAUCGGAAUUACUGGGCGUAAAGCGUGCGCAGGCGGCUUUGCAAGACAGAUGUGAAAUCCCCGGGCUCAACCUGGGAACUGCAUUUGUGACUGCAAGGCUAGAGUACGGCAGAGGGGGAUGGAAUUCCGCGUGUAGCAGUGAAAUGCGUAGAUAUGCGGAGGAACACCAAUGGCGAAGGCAAUCCCCUGGGCCUGUACUGACGCUCAUGCACGAAAGCGUGGGGAGCAAACAGGAUUAGAUACCCCAGUAGUC
rnacentral:rRNA from 1 species